CCAGACUCCUACGGGAGGCAGCAGUGGGGAAUAUUGCACAAUGGGGGAAACCCUGAUGCAGCGACGCCGCGUGAGUGAAGAAGUAUUUCGGUAUGUAAAGCUCUAUCAGCAGGGAAGAAAAUGACGGUACCUGACUAAGAAGCCCCGGCUAACUACGUGCCAGCAGCCGCGGUAAUACGUAGGGGGCAAGCGUUAUCCGGAUUUACUGGGUGUAAAGGGAGCGUAGACGGUAGAGCAAGUCUGAAGUGAAAGCCCGCGGCUCAACUGCGGGACUGCUUUGGAAACUGUUCAACUGGAGUGCCGGAGAGGUAAGCGGAAUUCCUAGUGUAGCGGUGAAAUGCGUAGAUAUUAGGAGGAACACCAGUGGCGAAGGCGGCUUACUGGACAGUAACUGACGUUGAGGCUCGAAAGCGUGGGGAGCAAACAGGAUUAGAUACCCGCGUA
rnacentral:rRNA from 1 species